UACAGAGGUCCCAAGCGUUGUUCGGAUUCACUGGGCGUAAAGGGUGCGUAGGUGGUGGGGUAAGUCGGAUGUGAAAUCUCCAGGCUCAACCUGGAAAUGGCAUUGGAAACUACCUUGCUAGAGGGUUUGAGGGGGGACUGGAAUACUUGGUGUAGCAGUGAAAUGCGUAGAUAUCAAGUGGAACACCAGUUGCGAAGGCGGCAUCCUGGACCGAUACUGACACUGAGGAGCGAAAGCCAGGGGAGCAAACGGG
rnacentral:rRNA from 1 species